ACAAAGCCAUGGUCCUCAACUGCUGAAGAUAGUCCUGUUCUGCUGAAACUCCGUGCUAUCCAUACAGAAGGCCCUGGGGAUUGAUGGAGAUUUGCCACUUCGACCUUCAGUGAAGACAUCUUGGCAAGCUGAACUGGACAUGUCAGGUCUAAUAUGGCCUGAGAGAAGAGUGGAGGGGCCUACAAGCCUGCAGCUUGCUCACUUCAGGUGCCUUCUGCAACGCCGAAGAUGGAGAAGCACAUUCCUCAUCGCACUCUAGCUGCUCAUCCACACAUCAGUCCUUAAUGUCAGGCACCUCAUACCCUUGGGCAAGUUCAAAAUCAGAA